rnacentral:tRNA from 1 species
GGUGUAAUGGUGUAAUGGCUACCACUCUGGACUUUGAAUCCAACCAUCCAGGUUCAAAUCUUGGUGGGACCU